rnacentral:sRNA from 1 species
AGACCACAAGGUCGGGAGCACCUGCGGAGGCUUCUGAACUGGGAGGAGUUUGACGAACAGAGAGACUCCCGGAGGAGCAUCCUGCUGGACACCCUCUACGAGAGCAUCAUCUUUGCAGUGGGCAAAGGCUUCCCAUGGGUGGAGGUGGCCCAGGUGGUCAAGUUCACGGAAGAGCUGCUAAGGGAAACCAAAGUGACAAAGAGAAAGGAAUACUCUUACAGAGAAGAAGCUGACAGCUGCCUCCUUAGUCAAAUGAUCCAAGUUGACAUUGUCAGUGAGAGGCCGCACACAGAAUCCCGUGUGCCUGGUCGGAUGCAGCGAGAAGCCAGCAUUCUCCUGUGAUGGUUCCAGCAAAGACUCAUGGCCUGAAUCUAAUCGAGAGAAAACAGCAAAUUAGGAGUAGGGCUCAAAGUAGCCCUCCUGCCAGCUCCAAACACUCAAAGGCCAUAAGAGCCCAGGAA